AAGACCUCAAAUCAGGUGAGACUACCCGCUGAACUUAAGCAUAUCAAUAAGCGGAGGAAAAGAAACUAACAAGGAUUCCCCUAGUAACGGCGAGUGAAGAGGGAUGAGCCCAAAUUUGUAAUCUGGUUUUCUUUGAGGAUCAGAGUUGUAAUUUGAAGAGCUGUUUUCAGUGCUGGACUGUACAAAAGUUUGUUGGAAAACAACAUCAUUGAGGGUGAUAAUCCCGUUAAUGGUAUGGACUACCAGUGCAAUAUGAUACAGUUUCUAAGAGUCGAGUUGUUUGGGAAUGCAGCUCAAAGUGGGUGGUAAAUUCCAUCUAAGGCUAAAUAUUGAUGAGAGACCGAUAGCAAACAAGUACCGUGAGGGAAAGAUGAAAAGAACUUUGGAAAGAGAGUUAACAGUAUGUGAAAUUGUUAAAAGGGAAACACUUGAAGUUAGACUUGUUAUUGCCAGUUCAUUAACCUCUUUUGGGGGGAGUAUUCUGGUGGUUAACAGAUCAACAUCAGUUCUGAUUUUGUGCUGGAUAAGGGUUGUGGAAAUGUGGCAGUCUCUGACUGUGUUAUAGUCCAUGACUUUGAUAUGGUGCUUGGGACUGAGGUAUGCAGCAAGCUCUCUUUAGGGGGAGAGGAUUUACCUUGGUAGGUCUUCUUGCUGAGGAUGUUGAUGUAAUAGCUUUAAAUGACCCGUCUUGAAACACGGACCAAGGAGUCUAACAUGCCUGCGAGUAUUUGGGUGAUAGAAACCCUUAUGCGUAAUGAAAGUAAAUGUAAAUGGGAUCCAUUCAAAGGGAGCACCAUUGACCAGUCCUGAUUAUUUAUAUGACGGUACUGAGUAAGAGCAAGUAUGUUGGGACCCGAAAGAUGGUGAACUAUGCCUGAAUAGGGUGAAGCCAGAGGAAACUCUGGUGGAAGCUCGUAGCGGUUCUGACGUGCAAAUCGAUCGUCAAAUUUGGGUAUAGGGGCGAAAGACUAAUCGA
rnacentral:rRNA from 1 species